rnacentral:rRNA from 1 species
GAUGAACGCUGGCGGCGUGGAUAAGGCAUGCAAGUCGAACGGAUGUUUUUUUAUGCUUGCAUUUAAGAACAUUAGUGGCGAACGAGUCAGUAUAACCUUGGUAACUUACCCCAAAGUCUUGGAUAACUUGCGGAAACGCAAGCUAAUACAAGAUGGUCAAUUUAUUCGUAAGAGUAAAUUGUAAAGCUUCGGUGCUUUGGGAGAGGCCUUGGACGUAUCAGCUUGUUGGUGAGGUAAUGGCUCACCAAGGCUAUGACGCGUAGGGGACCUGAGAGGGUGACCCCCGACGAUGGAACUGAGACACGGUCCAUACUCCUACGGGAGGCAGCAGCCGAGAAUCUUCCGCAAUGCGCAUAUUUGCGUGACGGAGCGACGCCGCGUGAAGGAAGAAGCCCUGUGGGGUGUAAACUUCUGNNGAAUGGGAGCAA